GAUGUCGGCUCUUCCUAU
rnacentral:ncRNA from 3 species